UACGUAGGGUGCGAGCGUUGCCCGGAUUUAUUGGGCGUAAAGAGCGUGUAGGCGGCCAUACAGGUCCGUUGUGAAAACUCGAGGCUCAACCUCGAGACGUCGAUGGAAACCGUAUGGCUAGAGUCCGGAAGAGGAGAGUGGAAUUCCUGGUGUAGCGGUGGAAUGCGCAGAUAUCAGGAGGAACACCGAUGGCGAAGGCAGUUCUCUGGGCCGUAACUGACGCUGAGGAGCGAAAGCGUGGGGAGCGAACAGG
rnacentral:rRNA from 1 species